rnacentral:rRNA from 1 species
CCUACGGGAGGCAGCAGUGAGGAAUAUUGGGCAAUGGAGGGAACUCUGACCCAGCCAUGCCGCGUGAGUGAGAAGGUUUUCGAAUUGUAAAGCUCUUUCGGGUGUGAAGAUGAUGACGGUAACACCAGAAGAAGCCCCGGCAAACUUCGUGCCAGCAGCCGCGGUAAU